UACGUAGGGUGCAAGCGUUGUCCGGAAUUAUUGGGCGUAAAGAGCUCGUAGGCGGUUUGUCGCGUCUGCUGUGAAAACUCGGGGCUUAACCCCGGGCCUGCAGUGGGUACGGGCAGACUAGAGUGCGGUAGGGGAGACUGGAAUUCCUGGUGUAGCGGUGAAAUGCGCAGAUAUCAGGAGGAACACCGGUGGCGAAGGCGGGUCUCUGGCCGUAACUGACGCUGAGGAGCGAAAGCAUGGGGAGCGAACAGG
rnacentral:rRNA from 1 species